rnacentral:rRNA from 1 species
UACGGAGGGUGCAAGCGUUAUCCGGAUUCACUGGGUUUAAAGGGUGCGUAGGUGGGUCUGUAAGUCAGUGGUGAAAUCUCCGAGCUUAACUUCGGAAACUGCCAUUGAUACUAUAGGUCUUGAAUUAUCUGGAGGUAAGCGGAAUAUGUCAUGUAGCGGUGAAAUGCUUAGAUAUGACAUAGAACACCAAUUGCGAAGGCAGCUUACUACGGAUCGAUUGACACUGAGGCACGAAAGCGUGGGGAUCAAACAGG